GUGUAUACUGGGGGGGUGUAUACUGUGUCACUCAAAGCUGACUCACAGCUACCUCCUCACAG
rnacentral:miRNA from 1 species